rnacentral:rRNA from 1 species
UACGGAGGAUCCGAGCGUUAUCCGGAUUUAUUGGGUUUAAAGGGUGCGUAGGUGGUUUGAUAAGUCAGCGGUGAAAGUUUGCAGCUUAACUGUAAAAAUGCCGUUGAAACUGUCGGACUUGAGUGUAAAUGAGGUAGGCGGAAUGCGUGGUGUAGCGGUGAAAUGCAUAGAUAUCACACAGAACUCCGAUUGCGAAGGCAGCUUACUAAGCUACAACUGACACUGGAGCACGAAAGCGUGGGGAUCAAACAGGAUUAGAUACCCUGGUAGUCCACGCAGUAAACGAUGAUUACUAGCUGUUUGCGAUACACAGUAAGCGGCACAGCGAAAGCGUUAAGUAAUCCACCUGGGGAGUACGCCGGCAACGGUGAA